UCUAUGUGGCUGCAAGUUAUCUCUGUGCUUGUGCAGACUUCUUUUUUGGUAGGACCCUCUUCAGGUUCAGGCACAGACAGCAGAAGGCUUCUUCCUUGCUCUUUCCCUUGCCUCAUAGCCUCUUCUUGUAGUCUUCCUCUCAACUUCAGUCCUUCUUAUCCAUCUCCCUUGAACAAACUUUUUCAAAUGAACUGAACUGAACGGCUUGUGUUAACCAGCCUUAAAUGUUUUUUCCUUCUUUAGAGCCCCUUUAGACUCCCACUUCUAGACAUAGCUCUUGCCUAGCAACAGCAUUUGUUGGUGCUGCUUAGCAACAGAGUUGCCUAUGCCACCAUUAGAGGGCCUUAACUUAACCAGUAAAACAAACACAAACAACCAAGUGUCCUUAUGGAGCUUACCAGGAGGCUUCAACACGACCUUUCCCCUCAGAGAACCCUAUUCAAGGGAGACUGAUUACCUCUGCAUAACCUAACCUUCCUCACAGCAAGCACAAGCUUGAGGGCUGCUAUAGAAGAAUUAAUUCUGUGGAAAGGGUGCUGUUAGCAAAUGAGCUGUUUUUCUGCCAUUCAAACAUAGCACCUUCGUUAACUGUGGCCAGGUAAUUCCAAUUCACUCUGCAGAUGUCCACCAAACCGUGGCCAGCCAAACUCCAGUUGAGGAAGAGGGUAGCUCCUCUCUGCUGCUCAGCCCACUACGAGGCCAGUCCCAGCCAGCUCCACAGCUCACUGGGGGCAAAGUGUCACUCACUGUGGCAGCGGCUCAGCCACGAUUAGCCACACUCAAGAAGGGGAGUGCCAAGCAUGAUCCUGUGUUUUCAGAGCACUCCUCCCGCCCUCAGCAGGGAGAGGAAAGCCCUUUCAGUUCCCUGCAAUGCCAGCGUUUUUUCUGCCAGCCAUGGCACCCCCCCAAAAAAAGUAGCCCAGCACCCUGAAAACACAACACCAGCAUGAAUUCCCUGAUAGUUUUGAGGCCUGGGGUGUGUUUCUAAAGGUCCAACUUGAGAGGAUCAUAGUGACUUCCCAGUGAAGUUCUUGAACUGAGCUGCCCAAACGACACCUGAUCCCUGGUGCCAGAUGGAAGAACUCAAGGCUACUUGCAUUAAUGAAGCAAUCUGGGGAAGGGAGAAACUUUGCUACAUCUUGAAGAAGAAGCUGGAGCAAUGGUAGACGCUUCUAGAGCAGAUGUGUCUGCUUGCUCAGAAGCAAAUGGAUUUCUUCCACACAGGAGACAUCUAACAAGACAAUCACGGAACUGGAAAGGAAAGGAACAGAAGCCGCCUACGUGUGUUAACUCCUUUUAUCUUCAUAACAACUUUCAAAAUAGAUUAGGCUAAGGGAGUGACAUGCCCAAAGCAAUCCAGUGAAUGUUAUGGUUAAAGGGGAUCUGAAUGCAGGUCUCCUCAAGCCAAGUCAAAACAUCUAUAAUAUACUACAUUAUACCAGCUCUUGAAAGUGCAGAGCUGCGGUCCCGCCUUUUCACACAACAGCGUGAGAACUGACAACCUUCUGAACUGCAAGCAAGACAACCAAUCACCCAGCCAUCCCAUCAGUACAAGAAAAAGUCAGUAUAUGAUAAAGGCAACAGCAAAGGCAAUAUUCUACUUUGCAAUACUCUUCUUGAUGGUAUAGUAUUAUGCUGAUUGCAAUGGAAGACAUAGGUGAUGGAGAGACCUAACUCAAUGUUCAAAGCAGAGUCAUGAGAUGAUACCAUAGCUGAUGUUAACAAAUCUUCAAACACAUGUUCUUAAUCUUGGAUGCUGAAAACCUGAAGGCUUCCCAUAACACUUACAUUUUAUGUAUAAAAGAAGAAAGAGUAAUUUGCAGGAGUGAGUUGGUCAGCAGCCAUGAAAGGGUUUAUAGAAUAGUGGAAUGAAUGUGCAUUCCCUGGCUCAGAAUUUUGAAACAAACCUACCUACUACAACCACUUUAUAGAUUAAACAACAUCAAGAAUGCUUCUAUCUUCUUCAAUGAGUCAGGAAUGUUGGAGAGCGAAGAACGAACUGUCACACCCAAUCGGCACUGUUCCCACUCACUCCCCACCGCCACCCAGCGUGUUUGUCUUCCCUUGUUUGAUUAUAGCUACACCCCUGUAUUCCUGUUUAAGCGUCUAGGCCUCUUCAAAUUGCUUGACUACUUUAAAGUGACUAAACAACAUAAUAAAGAAGCUUCUGUUGCA